rnacentral:rRNA from 1 species
GGUGAGGUAUGGCUCACCAGGCGACGAUCGGUAGCUGACUCUUGAGAGGAUGAUCGGCCACACUGGAACUGAGACACGGUCCAGACUCCUACGGGAGCAGCAGUGGGGAAUUUUGCGCAAUGGGCGAAAGCCUGAUGGAGCAACGCCGCGUGUGGGACGAAGGCCUUCGGGUUGUAAACCUCUUUUCUCAGGGAAGAA